rnacentral:rRNA from 1 species
CAUGGCUCAGGAUGAACGCUGGCGGCGUGCUUAACACAUGUAAGUCGAACGGACGCUUUGAGCAAUCGGAGCGUUAGUGGCAGACGGGUGCGUAACACGUGGGUGACCUACCUCGAAGUGGGGAACAACAGACCGAAAGGUUUGCUAAUACCGCAUACGUUCGGCUCUUCAUUGAGCCGCGCAAAGCCGAAAGGCGCUUUGAGAGGGGCCCGCGGCCCAUCAGGUAGUUGGUGAGGUAAUGGCCCACCAAGCCGAUGACGGGUAGCUGUUCUGAGAGGAAGAUCAGCCACACUGGCACUGAGAUACGGGCCAGACUCCUACGGGAGGCAGCAGUGAGGAAUAUUGCACAAUGGACGAAAGUCUGAUGCAGCGACGCCGCGUGGGCGACGAAGGCCUUCGGGUCGUAAAGCCCU